rnacentral:rRNA from 1 species
UACGAAGGGGCUAGCGUUGCUCGGAAUCACUGGGCGUAAAGCGCACGUAGGCGGAUUGCUAAGUCAGGGGUGAAAUCCUGGAGCUCAACUCCAGAACUGCCUUUGAUACUGAGGAUCUUGAGUUCGGGAGAGGUGAGUGGAACUGCGAGUGUAGAGGUGAAAUUCGUAGAUAUUCGCAAGAACACCAGUGGCGAAGGCGGCUCACUGGCCCGAUACUGACGCUGAUGCACGAAAGCGUGGGAGCAAACAGG